rnacentral:rRNA from 1 species
AUUGAACGCUGGCGGCAUGCUUUACACAUGCAAGUCGAACGGCAGCGCGGGCUUCGGCCUGGCGGCGAGUGGCGAACGGGUGAGUAAUGCAUCGGAACGUGCCCAGUAGUGGGGGAUAGCCCGGCGAAAGCCGGAUUAAUACCGCAUACGACCUGAGGGUGAAAGCGGGGGACCGAAAGGCCUCGCGCUAUUGGAGCGGCCGAUGUCGGAUUAGCUAGUUGGUGGGGUAAAGGCUUACCAAGGCGACGAUCCGUAGCUGGUCUGAGAGGACGACCAGCCACACUGGGACUGAGACACGGCCCAGACUCCUACGGGAGGCAGCAGUGGGGAAUUUUGGACAAUGGGGGCAACCCUGAUCCAGCCAUGCCGCGUGCGGGAAGAAGACCUUCGGGUUGUAAACCGCUUUUGUUCAGGAAGAAAUCCUCUGGGCUAAUACCCCGGGGGGAUGACGGUACCGGAAGAAUAAGCACCGGCUAACUACGUG